rnacentral:tRNA from 1 species
GGGCGAAUAGCUCAGUUGGUCAGAGCGCCUGCCUUACAAGCAGGAGGUCGCAGGUUCAAGUCCUGCUUCGCCCACCA